rnacentral:rRNA from 1 species
AUUGAACGCUGGCGGCAGGCUUAACACAUGCGAGUCGAGCGGGGGAAGGUAGCUUGCUACUGGACCUAGCGGCGGACGGGUGAGUAAUGCUUAGGAAUCUGCCUAUUAGUGGGGGACAACAUCUCGAAAGGGAUGCUAAUACCGCAUACGUCCUACGGGAGAAAGCAGGGGAUCUUCGGACCUUGCGCUAAUAGAUGAGCCUAAGUCGGAUUAGCUAGUUGGUGGGGUAAAGGCCUACCAAGGCGACGAUCUGUAGCGGGUCUGAGAGGAGGAUCCGCCACACUUGGACUGAGACGCGGCCCAGAAUCCUACGGGAGGCAGCAGUGGGGAAUAUUGGACAAUGGGCGGAAGCCUGAUCCAGCCAUGCCGCGUGUGUGAAGAAGGCCUUUUGGUUGUAAAGCACUUUAAGCGAGGAGGAGGCUACUUAGAUUAAUACUCUGGGAUAGUGGACGUUACUCGCAGAAUAAGCACCGGCUAACUCUGUGCCAGCAGCCGCAGUAA